rnacentral:rRNA from 1 species
UACGAAGGGGGCUAGCGUUGUUCGGAAUUACUGGGCGUAAAGCGCGCGCAGGCGGCUAUCCAAGUCAGUGGUGAAAGCCCGGAGCUCAACUCCGGAACUGCCAUUGAAACUGUUUAGCUUGAGGACGAGAGAGGUGAGUGGAAUUCCCAGUGUAGAGGUGAAAUUCGUAGAUAUUGGGAAGAACACCGGUGGCGAAGGCGGCUACACUGGCUCGUAUCUGACGCUCAGGCGCGACAGCGUGGGGACUCAAACAGG